rnacentral:rRNA from 1 species
UGAGCCUCUGGGUCACCUCCCACCCGUGUUUAUUGUACCUUGUUGCUUCGGUGCGCCCGCCUCACGGCCGCCGGGGGGCUUCUGCCCCCGGGUCCGCGCGCACCGGAGACACCAUUGAACUCUGUCUGAAGAUUGCAGUCUGAGCAUAAACUAAAUAAGUUAAAACUUUCAACAACGGAUCUCUUGGUUCCGGCAUCGAUGAAGAACGCAGCGAAAUGCGAUAACUAAUGUGAAUUGCAGAAUUCAGUGAAUCAUCGAGUCUUUGAACGCACAUUGCGCCCCCUGGUAUUCCGGGGGGCAUGCCUGUCCGAGCGUCAUUGCUGCCCUCAAGCACGGCUUGUGUGUUGGGCUCCGUCCCCCCGGGGACGGGUCCGAAAGGCAGCGGCGGCACCGAGUCCGGUCCUCGAGCGUAUGGGGCUUUGUCACCCGCUCUGUAGGCCCGGCCGGCGCCAGCCGACAACCAAUCAUCCUUUUUUCAGGUUGACCUCGGAUCAGGUAGGGAUACCCGCUGAACUUAAGCAUAUCAAUAAGCGGAGGAA